rnacentral:rRNA from 1 species
UCGUGAGACAGUUCGGUCUCUAUCCUCCGUGGGCGUAAGUAAUUUGAGAAGAUCUGACCUUAGUACGAGAGGACCGGGUUGGACCAACCUAUGGUGUACCGGUUGUGGCGCCAGCUGCAUCGCCGGGUAGCUAAGUUGGGACGGGAUAACCACUGAAAGCAUCUAAGUGGGAAGCCUACUUCAAGAUAAGAUUACUAUUAAGGGUGCUUGUAGACUACGAGCUUGAUAGGUCA